rnacentral:rRNA from 1 species
GACGAACGCUGGCGGCGUGCUUAACACAUGCAAGUCGAACGGAAAGGCCCUGCUUUUGUGGGGUGCUCGAGUGGCGAACGGGUGAGUAACACGUGAGUAACCUGCCCUUGACUUUGGGAUAACUUCAGGAAACUGGGGCUAAUACCGGAUAGGAGCUCCUGCUGCAUGGUGGGGGUUGGAAAGUUUCGGCGGUUGGGGAUGGACUCGCGGCUUAUCAGCUUGUUGGUGGGGUAGUGGCUUACCAAGGCUUUGACGGGUAGGCGGCAGGAGAGGGUGACCGGCGACAAUGGGACUGAGAGACGGCCCAGACUCCUACGGGAGGCAGCAGUGGGGAAUAUUGCACAAUGGGCGGAAGCCUGAGGCAGCAACGCCGCGUGCGGGAUGACGGCCUUCGGGUUGUAAACCGCUUUCGCCUGUGACGAAGCGUGAGUGACGGUAAUGGGUAAAGAAGCACCGGCUAACUACGUG